AUCGCUGGAAGUAGUUAGCAUUGCAUAAUUUAAGUACUACAACUAAAUUCUAACCAAAUUGCAAAUUUCGACACGUUAUAAUGCCGUUUCCUGACCAUCAGAUUUCUGUCAAAUCUUCCCCCAAAGUCCAGGAAAUGGCAUUUCAGAGACUCUAAAUUAAAAUUUUUUCCUGGGGGGGGCAUGCCCCCGGACCCCCCUAGACAAACCUCGCACCUGCGGCACUCGGCUCGUGCCUUCGGCAAUCGUUUAUCAAGUGUAACAUUAUAGGGGCGCAUAUUGGUUGACAGCCCACUGGCCCCUCCAGAAAAAUAGUACCCAGCACGCCACUGA